CGGGCGACCGGCGCACGGGUGAGUAACACGUAUGGAACCUGCCCGCAGCAGGGGGAUAAGCGGAAGAAAUUCCGUCUAAUACCGCGUAACAACGUUGGGAGGCAUCUCCCGAUGUUUAAAGAUUUAUCGGCUGCGGAUGGCCAUGCGGCGCAUUAGCUAGUCGGCGGGGUAACGGCCCACCGAGGCGACGAUGCGUAGGGGUUCUGAGAGGAAGGUCCCCCACACUGGUACUGAGACACGGACCAGACUCCUACGGAAGGCAGCAG
rnacentral:rRNA from 1 species